CGUGUCUUUCACCCCAAAACUUAACAACCACGUAUCAAUUGUUUUGCACCUUCUUUAUCAAUUUUCUUUGGUUCCACAGCCUUUUGUUCGUCUCUUCCGAUUGACCAUUGCUUUGCUCCAACAGUUGCUGAUGAGUUUUACCCCAGGUACUGUUGUGUUGCUUACCCCUUUCUCUAUUUAUUUCUUUCCUUAUUCUUUGUGUCUUGUUCUUUUCUUCUUUUGGGUCUUUUGAGUUACCUUCAUCUGAUUUCUGCAUCAACAGUCAAAGAUGACCAUAAUCAGAGACAACCUCAGUAUCUAAGAUCUCAUGUCAGGUAAUUGAUGUGUUAUAGAAGAAAGUUUUGAUCCAAGUAUUGUUACUUCUUUCGUAUUUCUUGUAAUGGGUUUGAAUUUCUAAAAUUAAAAGUACUUAAUUCUUUGAAUGCUGAGGACCGACCAAACCUUAUUAACUCUCUCAAAGUGAGCUUUCAUAUCCCAUUCUUGUGCGAAUUGAGGAUGAUUUUGUAGUUUUUUUUAAUUGAAUAUAUUUCAGGACUUACUGAGAAGACUCUAACAUGGGGGCAUCUCAUAAUUUGAAAGAUCAAAUGCACUGUUGUUAUUUUCCUUAGAUAGAGAAUUGGGUCGAUGCAUUACAUUUGUCUUCUUCUCUUAAACCUUUUAGUAGACGUGAAUGAUGUUUUUACUCUCGAAAUUCAAGAAAGAAAACACAUCAUAUCAACUGUGAAAUUAUCACAUCAGAUGUUUGGCUUUGUUUGAGGGAAAUAAGGGGAAAGGAAGUGAAAAUAUGAGCACGUUACAGAGCAAAGUGAGUAAAAAUCUACGAUAAAAAAUGGAUGUAUCAUUUUUAUUUAAAGCAUUUCUAUAGGUUCUUGAUUUAUUACUUUCCUUCUAUUUUCAAAUUCCCAACACUCUUUCUAUUUUUGUUUGAAAUUUGCCUUAUUCUAGAAGGGUAUAGAGGUCCUAACUCCUUGCUUAGCACACUAUGCCGAACAGCUUUACUGAACACUUACUCAGUUUUUUUGCAUUAUUUCUAUAUCUAUCAUUUGGUACAUUGCACGCGAGCCUGAAUUUUCACACGCUCAACUUUAUGUUGUGUUAUAUAGAGUAAAAUGGUUGAAUUAUGUUACGAUAUCAAUUCAAUCACCUAGCUCAGCUAAUGAUGACAUCUACAAUUUGAUGUAGUUAACAGCGCUCUUAUUAAUAGCAUUGUUGUGAACGAAGUUUUAUUUGGCCAAUAUGAUCAUGAAACAAAUAAUUUCCAUAAAGUGAAGUUUGAUGAAGGAAGGUCCAAUUGUUGAAUUAUUCACUAUUGUGAUGUUGGAUAAUUAUUGAAGGGAGAUGUGGACGGUGAUGACUCUUGCUUGCUGUAUAAUUUGGUCGUUCGCUAUCUUCACUUUAGCUUCUUCCAACCAUGAUUUUUGUUCUGUCAGCCUGAGUUUUAACUGAGCAAUUUUCUAUUGUUGCUAACUUCUCCAACAGUUUCGAGCACUUUUGAAUUGGCACACUUGCUGGUUUUUUCUCCCACCCUCGAGAAUACCAAAACUGACAUCCAGUAGAUAUGUACAUGCAAGGAAUGGAAGCAAGAAAACUAAUCAACAUGCUUCUUGCUUAGCAUCCGAUUAUCACAAGAAUAUCAUUUAUGUUGGGGGCUAAAUUCUCUUUCUAGCAUAUCUUUAACUUUCACUGUGACUGCUGUCAACUUCUUGGUGCUUAAUCUUUCUCCCUUCCCCAGGUAGUAGACUUUACUUCACUGAUAAAGCUGUUGACUAUUUUUGUUGUUUGCCCUUUUUAUUGGUUUAUAUUUUUGCAGGAAACCUCUUUAUUAGUAUUUAACAUCCUAGGAAAUGAUGGAUUUGUGAAUA